UGAAUACGAGACGCUAAGGCGUCGAAGUAGUGUAUGUCAUACUUCCAAGAAAAGCUUGCACUGUCAUAGAUAAAAAACGCCUGUACCAUAACCGACACAGGUGGGUAGGUAGAGUAUACUAAGGGGCGCGAGAUAACUCUCUCUAAGGAACUCGGCAAAAUAACUCCGUAACUUCGGGAGAAGGAGUGCCUUAUUCGUAAGGUUGCAAUAACAAGAUCCAAGCAACUGUUUAUCAAAAACACAGGUCUCCGCUAAGUCGUAAGACGAUGUAUGGGGGCUGACGCCUGCCCAGUGCCAGAAGGUUAAAGAAGUUGGUUAGCAAUUGCGAAGCUGAUAACUGAAGCCCUGGUGAACGGCGGCCGUAAUGAUAACGGUCCUAAGGUAGCGAAAUUCCUUGUCGGGUAAGUUCCGACCCGCACGAAAGGCGUAAUGAUUUGGAUACUGUCUCGGAGAGGGGCUCGGUGAAAUAGACUUGUCUGUGAAGAUGCGGACUACCUGCACCAGGACAGAAAGACCCUAUGAAGCUUUACUGUAACUUGAAAUUGAAAUUGGACUUUAUUCGCGCAGUAUAGGUGGGAGGCGUUGAUUAUAAUCUUGUGGGAUUAUUGGAGCCAUCAGUGAGAUACCACUCUUGUAAUGUUAGAUUUCUAACUUUGAAUCAUUAUCUGGUCAAAGAACAGUUUCAGGCGGGCAGUUUGACUGGGGCGGUCGCCUCCUAAACGGUAACGGAGGCGUACAAAGGUUUCCUCUGAACGGUUAGAAAUCGUAUCUAGAGUGUAAAGGCAUAAGGAAGCUUGACUGUGAGACCUACAAGUCGAGCAGGGACGAAAGUCGGUCUUAGUGAUCUGACGGUACCGAGUGGAAAGGCCGUCACUCAACGGAUAAAAGUUACUCUAGGAUAACAGGCUGAUCUCCCCCAAGAGUUCACAUCGACGGGGAGGUUUGGCACCUCGAUGUCGGCUCAUCGCAUCCUGGGGCGGUAGUACGUCCCAAGGGUUGGGCUGUUCGCCCAUGAAAGCGGUACGCGAGCUGGGUUCAGAACGUCGUGAGACAGUUCGGUCCAUAUCCGGUGUAGGCGUUAGAAUAUUGAGAGGAGCCUUCUUUAGUACGAGAGGACCGAGAAGGACAUACCUCUGGUGUACCAGUUAUCGUGCCAACGGUAAACGCUGGGUAGCUAUGUAUGGAGUGGAUAACCGCUGAAAGCAUCUAAGUGGGAAGCCCACCUCAAGAUAAG
rnacentral:rRNA from 1 species